rnacentral:rRNA from 1 species
AGUGAACGCUGGCGGUAGGCCUAACACAUGCAAGUCGAACGGCAGCACAGUAAGAGCUUGCCCUUACGGGUGGCGAGUGGCGGACGGGUGAGGAAUACAUCGGAAUCUACUUUUUCGUGGGGGAUAACGUAGGGAAACUUACGCUAAUACCGCAUACGACCUACGGGUGAAAGCAGGGGAUCUUCGGACCUUGCGCGAUUGAAUGAGCCGAUGUCGGAUUAGCUAGUUGGCGGGGUAAAGGCCCACCAAGGCGACGAUCCGUAGCUGGUCUGAGAGGAUGAUCAGCCACACUGGAACUGAGACACGGUCCAGACUCCUACGGGAGGCAGCAGUGGGGAAUAUUGGGCAAUGGGCGCAAGCCUGAUCCAGCCAUACCGCGUGGGUGAAGAAGGCCUUCGGGUUGUAAAGCCCUUUUGUUGGGAAAGAAGAGCAGCAGGUUAAUACCCCGCUGUUCUGACGGUACCCAAAGAAUAAGCACCGGCUAACUUCGUG